rfam:Papio anubis isolate 1X1155 chromosome 16, whole genome shotgun sequence.
GGCUCUGUGGCGCAAUGGAUAGCGCAUUGGACUUCUAGUGACGAAUUAGAGCAAUUCAAAGGUUGUGGGUUCGAAUCCCACCAGAGUCG